rnacentral:misc_RNA from 1 species
ACCCAUUUGCUAAAAAGUUCUGGACCCUUCACUGCAAAGAAAUUUAGUCUAGCUUCACAAGCUACUGCACGUGCCAUGAGAGUUUUGCUACAACCAGGAGGACCAAACAUUAAAACCCCAGUUGGGGGACGAGUACCAAUGCGCAAGAAUGCAUCUUGAUGUCUUUGAGGCCAUUCCACUGCUUCCAUUAGUUGAGCUUUUACCUCCCUCUGGCCGCCUACAUCUUCCCAAUUAACUUUUGGAAUCUCAAGUAUCACCUCCCGCAUGGCACUAGGCCUCACUUUCAUCCUCUGGCCCUCUCAAAAUCUUCGAAAGUGACUUUUAAAAAUUUUUUUUCCACCAAAAAUGUCUCCUUAUAACUAGAACUAACCCCAUUAUCAUUGCUAUCUGAAAUUUCAGAAACUGUUCCAAUAGAAUCUGCACAAACGUCUUGCAUCUCAACCAGGCCAUCAGAUUCCUUUAUCAUACUGUCAAGAUGAGAUUCAUAUGCAAUAGAUGACUCGUUGGAAUGUAAAAUAUCAUACAACUUUUUGGACUUGGCAUAUCGUCUAAGACAAACUAAGGCUGCCUCGUUGCAGAGGGAAGCUAAAUCAGCACCCACAAAGCCAUGUGUAGCCACAGCAAGGUUUUGAACCUGCAUUUCUGAAAGAGAAUGCUCCAUUUGACUGAGAAGAGUGUUCAGUAUAUCCAGUCGUUGCUUAGGAGAUGGAACACCUAUCUCAAUUUCUCUGUCGAGUCUUCCAGGCCGUCUCAGUGCAGGCUCAAUGCUAUCAGGCCUGUUUGUAGCAGCAAUUACAAGUAGUCCAUCAGUCCUUCUAAUCCCAUCCAUCAAAUUUAACAAUGUAGCUACCAUUCUUAGGGAAAGUUCUUCACCUCCAUCUUUCCGUGAAG